rnacentral:rRNA from 1 species
UACAGGGGGGGCAAGCGUUGUUCGGAAUUACUGGGCGUAAAGGGUCAGUAGGCGGCCAACUAAGUCCGACGUGAAAUCCCAAAGCUUAACUUUGGAACUGCGUCGGAUACUGGAUGGCUUGAAUUCGGGAGAGGGAUGCAGAAUUCCAGGUGUAGCGGUGAAAUGCGUAGAUAUCUGGAGGAAUACCGGUGGCGAAGGCGGCAUCCUGGACCGGCAUUGACGCUGAGGAGCGAAAGCCAGGGGAGCAAACGGG